GAUCAUUGCACACACAAGUGGCAGCCAACCCGCGGCGAACGAACACAUUGUCCCCCCCGGCGGGUCGUGGCGCCUCGCGGCGUCGCGGCCGGCCAACUCCCUUCGUCGUCACGAGCGAGCUCGCUCGCGCGCGGCGUCGGGUUUCCACGCGAUGCCUUCACCUUGACCGAAUGACUGAGUCCCUUAACACUUAAAGAGGAGCGACGAGUGCCGUCCCCCUUGGCUCGCUUUGGGGGUCGGCGCUGGUUACCUCGCGAGUUGAAACAUAACCAAAAACAACUCUCAGCAACGGAUAUCUUGGCUCUUGCAACGAUGAAGAACGCAGCGAAAUGCGAUACGUAGUGUGAAUUGCAGAAUUCCGCGAAUCAUCGAGUCUUUGAACGCAAGUUGCGCCCGAGGCUUGUCCAAGGGCAUUUCCGCUAGAGCGUCACCGCGCCCCCCACCGAUCCACUCCCGCCGGGAGUCGGGUCGAGUGAAAGUGGCCAUCCCGGUGGGCCUUCCUUUUCGAGGGAAAGGCCUUAAGGGUUGGCUGAAAUGGAGGGAAUCGGGCCGCCGUGGUGACACAGUCCGCGAUCGGGUGAUUUUUGGACUCCCCCGGGAGUCCAGAAUUUUUCUAAGUGCGUGGCUGCGUCGCCCAGUUGGCCUUGGUGUUACCUCAUGCAGGUCGAGCGCGCCCCCGCGGCGCGCGUCACGCAUCAGA
rnacentral:misc_RNA from 1 species